UCAAAAUUGCCAAAGCACAAUUAGAGGAGUUGAAGAAGGAUGCUCUUGAGGCCAUGGAAACCCAAAAGAAGAGGGAGGAAUUCAAGGACGAGGCAAUGAUAGAUGUGAAAUCUUUGGACAUCCGGAACUUCAUCUGAGAAUGUGCUGUGCUUGUUGACGGCUUUGAUUUGAUGCUAAACAAUUGUCCUGACACAAAGGAGACCACCUGCAUAGGAGGUGGGGAGUACAUCUGUUUUGCUUGAUAAUAAAGACCCAUCUAUUUUGCAGUUACAACUGCAGCAACUCGGUGGAUAUUAGGCUUUUUUGCCCAUUCAAUUUAAUUGAAAUGAAGAGCUGGA
rnacentral:misc_RNA from 1 species